rnacentral:rRNA from 1 species
UACGAAGGGGGCUAGCGUUGUUCGGAAUUUACUGGGCGUAAAGCGCACGUAGGCGGAUAUUUAAGUUAGGGGUGAAAUCCCAGGGCUCAACCCUGGAACUGCCUUUAAUACUGGGUAUCUCGAGUCCGAGAGAGGUGAGUGGAAUUCCGAGUGUAGAGGUGAAAUUCGUAGAUAUUCGGAGGAACACCAGUGGCGAAGGCGGCUCACUGGCUCGGUACUGACGCUGAGGUGCGAAAGCGUGGGGAGCAAACAGGG